rnacentral:rRNA from 1 species
GUUGAUCCUGCCGGACCUGACUGCUAUCGUAUUGGUACUAAGCCAUGCGAGUCGUUGUACAAUACAAGGCGGACUGCUCAGUAACACGUAGUUAACUUAACCUAUGGAUGGGCAUAACCUCGGGAAACUGAGAAUAAUACCCAAUGGACCACAGUGCCUGGAAUGGCCUGUGGUUGAAAUGAUUUAUCGCCGUAGGAUAGGACUGCGGCCUAUCAGCUUGUUGGUGAGGUAAUGGCCCACCAAGGCUAUAACAGGUACGGGCUCUGAGAGGAGGGGCCCGGAGAUGGGUACUGAGACACGGACCCAGGCCCUAUGGGGCGCAGCAGGCGAGAAACCUUUGCAAUGUGCGAAAGCACGACAAGGUUAAUCCGAGUGUCUCCUGCUAAAGGAGUCUUUUGUCAGUUGUAGAAUCACUGGUGAAUAAGGGGUGGGCAAGUUCUGGUGUCAGCCGCCGCGGUAAAACCAGCACCUCGAGUGGUCAGGAGGUUUAUUGGGCCUAAAGCAUCCGUAGCCGGUUGCAUACGUUUUCGGUUAAAUCUAUGCGCUUAACGUAUAGGCCGCCGAAAAUACUGUGCAGCUAGGGAGUGGGAGA